rnacentral:rRNA from 1 species
AUUGAACGCUGGCGGCAGGCCUAACACAUGCAAGCCGAACGGUAGCACAGAGAGCUUGCUCUCGGGUGACGAGUGGCGGACGGGUGAGUAAUGUCUGGGAAACUGCCCGAUGGAGGGGGAUAACUACUGGAAACGGUAGCUAAUACCGCAUAACGUCGCAAGACCAAAGUGGGGGACCUUCGGGCCUCACACCAUCGGAUGUGCCCAGAUGGGAUUAGCUAGUAGGUGGGGUAAUGGCUCACCUAGGCGACGAUCCCUAGCUGGUCUGAGAGGAUGACCAGCCACACUGGAACUGAGGCACGGUCCAGACUCCUACGGGAGGCAGCAGUGGGGAAUAUUGCACAAUGGGCGCAAGCCUGAUGCAGCCAUGCCGCGUGUAUGAAGAAGGCCUUCGGGUUGUAAAGUACUUUCAGCGGGGAGGAAGGCGGUGGAGUUAAUAACUUCACCGAUUGACGUUACCCGCAGAAGAAGCACCGGCUAACUCCGUGCCAGCCGCCGCAGUAA